rnacentral:rRNA from 1 species
AAGAGAAUGAUUAAACAAUUAAAAGCUUUCUUUAAUUAAAUAAUUGAAUUUAAUUUUUUAGUGCAAAAGCAAAAAUAAAAAUUAGGGACAAGAAGACCCUAUGAAUUUUUUAUUAAAUUUUAUAAAACUUUUUAUAAAAUUUAAUUUAAUUGGGGUGAUGGAAAAAGAAUAAAUAUCUUUUUUUUAAAAGAAAAUUGGUUCCGUUUUUAGCGAUUAAAUGAAAAAAAUACUCUAGGGAUAACAGCGUAAUAAUUUUGGAUAGUUCAUAUAGAUAAAAUAGUUUGCGACCUCGAUGUUGGAUUAGGAUUCUUUUUUGGUGAAGAAGUUAAAAAAAGAAGUUUGUUCAACUUAUAAUUUCCU